AAUGAACGCUGGCGGUAGGCCUAACACAUGCAAGUCGAACGGCAGCACAGUAAGAGCUUGCUCUUACGGGUGGCGAGUGGCGGACGGGUGAGGAAUACAUCGGAAUCUACUUUUUCGUGGGGGAUAACGUAGGGAAACUUACGCUAAUACCGCAUACGACCUACGGGUGAAAGCAGGGGAUCUUCGGACCUUGCGCGAUUGAAUGAGCCGAUGUCGGAUUAGCUAGUUGGCGGGGUAAAGGCCCACCAAGGCAACGAUCCGUAGCUGGUCUGAGAGGAUGAUCAGCCACGCUGGAACUGAGACACGGUCCAGACUCCUACGGGAGGCAGCAGUAGGGAAUAUUGGACAAUGGGCGCAAGCCUGAUCCAGCCAUACCGCGUGGGUGAAGAAGGCCUUCGGGUUGUAAAGCCCUUUUGUUGGGAAAGAAAAGCAGCAGGUUAAUACCCCGCUGUUCUGACGGUACCCAAAGAAUAAGCACCGGCUAACUUCGUG
rnacentral:rRNA from 1 species